rnacentral:rRNA from 1 species
GCUGAAUGUGGGGAUAAUUUAUCUCCGUGUUGUAGCUAACGCGUUAAGCACUUCGCCUGGGGACUACGGUCGCAAGACUAAAACUCAAAGGAAUUGACGGGGACCCGCACAAGCGGUGGAGCAUGUGGUUUAAUUCGAUGCAACGCGAAAAACCUUACCACUCCUUGACAUGGAGAUUAGAUCCUUCUUAACAGAAGGGCGCAGUUCGGCUGGAUCUCGCACAGGUGCUGCAUGGCUGUCGUCAGCUCGUGUCGUGAGAUGUUGGGUUAAGUCCCGCAACGAGCGUAACCCUCAUCCUUAGUUGCCAGCGGGUAAGCCGGGCACUUUAAGGAAACUGCCGGUGGUAAACCGGAGGAAGGUGGGGAUGAUGUCAAGUCAGCACGGCCCUUAUGGGGUGGGCUACACACGUGCUACAAUGGUGACUACAAUAGGUUGCAAUGUCGCAAGGCUGAGCUAAUCCGUAAAAGUCAUCUCAGUUCGGAUUGUCCUCUGCAACUCGAGGGCAUGAAGUCGGAAUCGCUAGUAAUCGUGGAUCAGCAUGCCACGGUGAAUACGUUCUCGGGUCUUGUACACACUGCCCGUCACGCCAUGGGAAUUGGCUUAACUCGAAGCUGGUGCGCUAACCGAAAGGAAGCAGCCAU